rnacentral:lncRNA from 1 species
UGUUGUAUUCAACAAAAGACUUGAUAAACAUGGCACACACAAGAGGUAUGAUCUACGCACUCUCAGUAAUACUAGUUCUAAGUCUCUUAUCACAAACAACGAUGUCAUUUUUCCGAGAGGGACGAGGACUACAAUCAUUUAAACGAACAAGAAUGANUGCUGAAUAUGAACCGCUGAACAGGGAACAACAAGAACCAUUCCGCAAACUUUACAACCAAAUACAUUUGAAAAGGAAAUAUCAUAAUCAAGAACGAGAAUGAAGUCUACGCCAUCAGAUAUUACCAUGGCAACCAAUUGAUCAAUAACAAUAACUAGGAUGUUUUCUAUCACCCUUCAUUGGUCGGCUUGUUUACCAUACGAGCUAUGGCGUCAUAUUUAGUUUAUCAGAAUAAAUAAGAAAAUAAAGUAUUAUUCAUGACAUU